GAUGAACGCUGGCGGCGUGCCUAAUACAUGCAAGUCGAGCGAACAGACGAGGAGCUUGCUCCUCUGACGUUAGCGGCGGACGGGUGAGUAACACGUGGUAACCUACCUAUAAGACUGGGAUAACUUCGGGAAACCGGAGCUAAUACCGGAUAAUAUAUUGAACCGCAUGGUUCCAUAGUGAAAGACGGUUUUGCUGUCACUUAUAGAUGGAUCCGCGCCGCAUUAGCUAGUUGGUAAGGUAACGGCUUACCAAGGCAACGAUGCGUAGCCGACCUGAGAGGGUGAUCGGCCACACUGGAACUGAGACACGGUCCAGACUCCUACGGGAGGCAGCAGUAGGGAAUCUUCCGCAAUGGGCGAAAGCUUGACGGAGCAACGCCGCGUGAGUGAUGAAGGUCUUCGGAUCGUAAAACUCUGUUAUUAGGGAAGAACAAAUGUGUAAGUAACUAUGCACGUCUUGACGGUACCUAAUCAGAAAGCCACGGCUAACUACGUG
rnacentral:rRNA from 1 species